rnacentral:rRNA from 1 species
GCAGCCGCGGUAAUUCCAGCUCCAAUAGCGUAUAUUAAAGUUGUUGCAGUUAAAAAGCUCGUAGUUGAAUUUCGGGAUUAGUACGUUGGUCGUGCCUUCGGUAUGUACUGAUGUUACUGAUUCCUCCCUUCUGAAGAACCGCUAUGUCAUUCAUUUGGUGUGGUGGGGAAUCAGGACUGUUACUUUGAAAAAAUUAGAGUGUUUAAAGCAGGCUUGCGCUUGAAUACAUUAGCAUGGAAUAAUGAAAUAGGACGUUUAUGAUCCUAUUUUGUUGGUUUCUAGGAUCGACGUGAUGAUUAAUAGGGAUAGUUGGG